rnacentral:rRNA from 1 species
UACAGAGGUCUCAAGCGUUGUUCGGAUUCAUUGGGCGUAAAGGGUGCGUAGGCGGCGCGGUAAGUCGGGUGUGAAAUCUCGGAGCUUAACUCCGAAACUGCAUUCGAUACUGCCGUGCUUGAGGACUGGAGAGGAGACUGGAAUUUACGGUGUAGCGGUGAAAUGCGUAGAGAUCAUGAGGAAGACCAGUGGCGAAGGCGGGUCUCUGGACAGGUUCCUGACACUGAGGCACGAAGGCCAGGGGAGCAAACGGG